AGUGAACGCCGGCGGUAGGCCUAACACAUGCAAGUCGAACGGCAGCACAGUAAGAGCUUGCUCUUACGGGUGGCGAGUGGCGGACGGGUGAGGAAUACAUCGGAAUCUACUUUUUCGUGGGGGAUAACGUAGGGAAACUUACGCUAAUACCGCAUACGACCUACGGGUGAAAGCAGGGGAUCUUCGGACCUUGCGCGAUUGAAUGAGCCGAUGUCGGAUUAGCUAGUUGGCGGGGUAAAGGCCCACCAAGGCGACGAUCCGUAGCUGGUCUGAGAGGAUGAUCAGCCACACUGGAACUGAGACACGGUCCAGACUCCUACGGGAGGCAGCAGUGGGGAAUAUUGGACAAUGGGCGCAAGCCUGAUCCAGCCAUACCGCGUGGGUGAAGAAGGCCUUCGGGUUGUAAAGCCCUUUUUGUUGGGAAAGAAAAGCAGCAGGUUAAUACCCCGCUGUUCUGACGGUACCCAAAGAAUAAGCACCGGCUAACUUCGUG
rnacentral:rRNA from 1 species